UAUUCUUCCUUGGUAAAGUCACUUGACUGCUGACAGUCUGUUUCCUGGACUAUAAAAUGAAGAUGCUAUGAAUACUGCUGAAGUGACUAACUGAUGACGUAUCAAUGUCAAACAUAAGUAUCGGUGAAAGAACUAUUUUGAAAUAAACAUCCUGGUUAAUCACUAAGGUCUAAGGAGGAAAACUGAAGACGAAGUUCAACAGACCCGUCACUAGUGGAGCCUGGCUUUCUCCUUGGAGAAAGCAGUAACCAGACUCUACCUAUUACAAUGAGAAGCUGCACUCAGGAUAAUUAUGGCUCGGUAAACCAUCAGCAUUCAGCAGGCAGUAAUUGAAAUUUCAUAGGCUCAUUAGCAGGUGGGAGAGGUACUGUGGCUGAGAGCUGCCAGCUGAGUAGAUUGUACAGUAUUGCAAUUUGUCAUAAGGCACUGUACUGCUACUAUGUUAAAAGGAAAGCAGGAAAAUAAAAGGUACUUUUUCUUAUACAAAAUGAAACACAGAA
rnacentral:lncRNA from 10 species